GAGAGGUAACGGCUCACCAAGGCAUCGACGGGUAGCUGGUCUGAGAGGAUGAUCAGCCACACUGGAACUGAGACACGGUCCAGGCUCCUACGGGAGGCAGCAGUGGGGAAUCUUGCACAAUGGGCGAAAGCCUGAUGCAGCGAUGCCGCGUGCGGGAAGAAGGCCUUAGGGUUGUAAACCGCUUUCAGGAGGGAAGAAAAUGACGGUACCUCCAGAAGAAGGUGCGGCCAACUACGUGCCAGCAGCCGCGGUGACACGUAGGCACCAAGCGUUAUCCGGAUUUAUUGGGCGUAAAGAGCUCGUAGGCGGUUUGGUAAGUCGGGUGUGAAAACUCUGGGCUCUACCCAGAGAGGCCACUCGAUACUGCUAUGACUAGAGUACGGUAGGGGAGCGGGGAAUUCCUGGUGUAGCGGUGAAAUGCGCAGAUAUCAGGAGGAACACCAGCGGCGAAGGCGCCGCUCUGGGCCGUAACUGACGCUGAGGAGCGAAAGCAUGGGUAGCAAACAGGAUUAGAUACCCUGGUAGUCCAUGCCGUAAACGUUGGGCACUAGGUGCGGGUCUCAACCAACGAGAUCCGCGCCGUCGCUAACGCAUUAAGUG
rnacentral:rRNA from 1 species